rnacentral:rRNA from 1 species
AUGACUCUCGGCAACGGAUAUCUUGGCUCUUGCAUCGAUGAAGAACGCAGCGAAAUGCGAUAAGUGGUGUGAAUUGCAGAAUCCCGUGAACCAUCGAGUCUUUGAACGCAAGUUGCGCCCGAGGCCAUCAGGCUAAGGGCACGCCUGCUUGGGCGUCGCGC